AUAAAAUUUACCUAAUACCUUCAUGCUUCAUUUCACAUGAGUUUUAGUCUAAAAUUAGUUAAAUUGAAGAAGAAGCCUUGGAUAUAAGAUGUCUGAACUUUAACUUUAAUGUUGACCUAACUUCUAUAUAAGUGGAAGCGGAUAACUUUACGGUCAAAUAAAACUAAUAUAUUACGUAAGCAUCUUUCAACUUGUCACUUUACCGCAUUGCACUCUGACAGCGAAAAUUUUCAUUGCAAAUUCUGUCACCGUGCCACAUGUAGACUACACAGCCUGCACAAACAUCCCCGUUAUGGAUGUCAAACUUAAACGAACCGAAAUCGACCCUGUGAUUCUGAAUAUAUGUGAACAGAAUGGGGUUGGCACUCUUCAACUUUUAAAAAAAGCAUCCCUCGAGGCGAGUUUAAAUUCAACGUGACUGAACUAUGCCUUAACGAACCGCACUGAAAAUAUUUCUCAAGAAAACUUUGAUGUAUGCUUAUUUGAAAAGACAUUGUAUGAACAUAUUAAACUAUUAUACUAUUAUUAUUAUUUCUCUAAAAAGAGUUAAACUAAUGUAAGUUAUAUGAAAAUCAUAAUUAAUGUGAAUAGUACUAAUAUCAGCUUCAAUACAAAGAAAAAACUCGGUCCCUCACAACUUUGCUGUUUCUUUGGAAUUCAAAUUCACCCCAGAGCAGUCCUGAUUGAACAUUAAUUAUAGAGGCACAAUGACUCAACUAAGACACGAGUUUUCUGGUUAAGUGAACACUGACAAAUCGGCUGUUAUGCAAUUGCGUGGACAACUGAUUGCAUACAAUCAAAAUAACUGAACCAUGUGUAAUAUGCAAACAGUGUCCAAGGAUAACACGCAUAGAUAUAGAUGGCAUAUUGAUCGAGUCAUCGAUGCGACAACAAUUUGCCGGUCUACUCGACUUUGCCGAUAUGCAAAUGUAUGCUCCAUUUUCCGCUAGGCCGAGAAGGAUUCGCGUACUGGGGAAGAGCAUGCCGGAUGUACUGCUGUCGUCGCAGGAAAUUGAGAACGCUGCAUAAAUCCUGAUCCUGCAAAACAAAUUUGAUACAAUAUAAUCCGGAUAUUGAUACAAUGUCGUGUGUCCUAACGAUAUCACGGAUGUAUGAAUUCCAUUGUUUGUUAGAACUACUUUUAUUUAAAACUUUUUGUUUUUAAAAAAAUUGAGGCGAAGAAUUAAAUUUAUUUGUCAUU